rnacentral:rRNA from 1 species
AACGAACGCUGGCGGCAUGCCUAACACAUGCAAGUCGAACGAGAUCUUCGGGUCUAGUGGCGCACGGGUGCGUAACGCGUGGGAAUCUGCCCUUUGGUUCGGAGUAACAGUUGGAAACGACUGCUAAUACCGGAUGAUGACGAAAGUCCAAAGAUUUAUCGCCAGAGGAUGAGCCCGCGUAGGAUUAGCUAGUUGGUGUGGUAAAGGCGAACCAAGGCGACGAUCAUUAGCUGGUAUGAGAGGAUGAUCAGCCACACUGGGACUGAGACACGGCCCAGACUACUACGGGAGGCAGCAGUGGGGAAUAUUGGACAAUGGGCGAAAGCCUGAUCCAGCAAUGCCGCGUGAGUGAUGAAGGCCUUAGGGUUGUAAAGCUCUUUUACCCGGGAUGAUAAUGACAGUACCGGGAGAAUAAGCUCCGGCUAACUCCGUGCCAGCCGCCGCCGUAA